UACAGAGGUCUCAAGCGUUGUUCGGAAUCACUGGGCGUAAAGGGUGCGUAGGCCGCACGGUAAGUCAGAUGUGAAAUCUCAGGGCUCAACUCUGAAAUUGCAUCCGAUACUGCCGUGCUUGAGGACUGGAGAGGAGUUUGGAAUUCAUGGUGGAGCAGUGAAAUGCGUAGAUAUCAUGAGGAACGCUAGUGGCGUAGGCGAGACUCUGGGCAGUUCCUGACGCUGAGGCACGAAGGCCAGGGGAGCAAACGGG
rnacentral:rRNA from 1 species